GGGAAUACUGUAGAGCUAGGGAGUGGGAGAGGUAGACGGUACUCGGUAGGAAGGGGUAAAAUCCUUUGAUCUAUUGAUGACCACCUGUGGCGAAGGCGGUCUACCAGAACACGUCCGACGGUGAGGGGUGAAAGCUGGGGGAGCAAGCCGGAUUAGAUACCCGGGUAGUCCCAGCUGUAAACUAUGCAAACUCAGUGAUGCAUUGGCUUGUGGCCAAUGCAGUGCUGCAGGGAAGCCGUUAAGUUUGCCGCCUGGGAAGUACGUACGCAAGUAUGAAACUUAAAGGAAUUGGCGGGGGAGCACCACAAGGGGUGAAGCCUGCGGUUCAAUUGGAGUCAACGCCAGAAAUCUUAUCCGGAGAGACAGCAGAAUGAAGGUCAAGCUGAAGACUUUACCAGACAAGCUGAGAGGUGGUGCAUGGCUGUCGCCAGCUCGUGCCGUGAGAUGUCCUGUUAAGUCAGGUAACGAGCGAGAUCCCUGCCUUUAGUUGCCACCAUUACUCUCAGGAGUAGUGGGGCGAAUUAGCGGGACCGCCGUAGUUAAUGCGGAGGAAGGAAGGGGCCACGGCAGGUCAGUAUGCCCCGAAACUCUGGGGCCACACGCGGGCUGCAAUGGUAAUGACAAUGGGUCCCAAAUCCGAAAGGAGGAGGUAAUCCUCAAACAUUACCACAGUUAUGACUGAGGGCUGCAACUCGCCCUCACGAAUAUGGAAUCCCUAGUAACUGCGUGUCAUUAUCGCGCGGUGAAUACGUCCCUGCUCCUUGCACUCACCGCCCGU
rnacentral:rRNA from 1 species